rnacentral:rRNA from 1 species
UACGGGGGGAGCAAGCGUUGUUCGGAUUUACUGGGCGUAAAGGGCGCGUAGGCGGCCAGCACAAGUCAGUUGUGAAAUCUCCGAGCUUAACUCGGAAAGGUCAACUGAUACUGUGCGGCUAGAGUGCGGAAGGGGCAACUGGAAUUCUUGGUGUAGCGGUGAAAUGCGCAGAUAUCAGGAGGAACACCAAUGGCGAAGGCAGCUCGCUGGAACGGUACUGACUCUGAGGCGCGAAAGCGUGGGGAGCGAACAGG